CAGUCGCCACGGUAAUACGAAGGGGGCUAGCGUUGCUCGGAAUGACUGGGCGUAAAGGGCGCGUAGGCGGCGAUCAAAGUCAGGCGUGAAAUUCCUGGGCUCAACCUGGGGGCUGCGCUUGAUACUUGGUUGCUUGAGUGGGGAAGAGGGUCGUGGAAUUCCCAGUGUAGAGGUGAAAUUCGUAGAUAUUGGGAAGAACACCGGUGGCGAAGGCGGCGACCUGGUCCUUGACUGACGCUGAGGCGCGAAAGCGUGGGGAGCAAACAGGAUUAGAUACCCCAGUAGUCCCUGUCUCUUAUAC
rnacentral:rRNA from 1 species